UCACAAUUAGCACAAUAAUUUAUAACACACUUUAUUAUAAUUUAUAGUCAAUACUUCUCCUAAAUGCAUUACCACAUAGUCACAUCAGUGUUUAUAAAUUAUAUAAACACUCAUCAAGUCUAACUAGUUUGGUCUGGUUGGACUUCGGUCUAUUCUCGGUGUUCUGGUCACCCUAUCAGACAAUUUAACACUUGUAUUGUCAAUUAAAC
rnacentral:lncRNA from 1 species